rnacentral:rRNA from 1 species
GUAGGCGGACAAGUAAGCGAAUAGUAAAAUCUGGUGGCUCAACCAUCAACCUAUUGUUCGAACUGCUGGUCUCGAGAAUGGUAGAGGUAGCUGGAAUUUCUUGUGUAGGAGUGAAAUCCGUAGAUAUAAGAAGGAACACCAAUGGCGUAGGCAGGCUACUGGACCAUUUCUGACGCUGAGGCACGAAAGCGUGGGGAGCGAACCGGAUUAGAUACCCGGGUAGUCCACGCCGUAAACUAUGGAUACUAGCUGUGGGGGGUAUCGACCCCCUCCGUAGCGAAGCUAACGCGUUAAGUAUCCCGCCUGUGGAGUACGGCCGCAAGGCUAAAACAUAAAGGAAUUGACGGGGACCCGCACAAGCGGUGGAGCGUGUUCUUUAAUUCGAUGCUAAACGAAGAACCUUACCAGGGCUUGACAUCCCUUGAAUUUCUGCGAAAGCAGAAAGUGCUUUAUUGAACAAGGUGACAGGUGCUGCAUGGCCGUCGUCAGCUCGUGUCGUGAGAUGUUUGGUUAAGUCCAUCAACGAGCGCAACCCUUGUGAUUAGUUGAAUUUUUCUAAUCAUACUGCUCCGGCAACGGGGAGGAAGGAGGGGAUGAUGUCAGGUCAGUAUUGCCCUUACGCCCUGGGCUAGAAACGCGCUACAAUGGCCGGUACAACGCGAAGCCAACCCGCAAGGGGGAGCAAAUCGCAUCAAAGCCGGUCCCAGUUCGGAUUGCAGGCUGAAACUCGCCUGCAUGAAGUCGGAAUCGCUAGUAAUCGCAAGUCAGCAAAUUGCGGUGAAUACGUUCCCGGGUCUUGUACACACCGCCCGUCAAACCAUGAAAGUGACCAACACCCGAAGUCCGAUUCGUCGGCCUAAGGUGGGGGGCAUGAUUGGGGUU